GACGAACGCUGGCGGCAUGCCUAACACAUGCAAGUCGAGCGAGCUGAUUCCUUCGGGAUGAAGCUAGCGGCGGACGGGUGAGUAACACGUGGGCAACCUGCCUCAUAGAGGGGAAUAGCCUUCCGAAAGGAAGAUUAAUACCGCAUAAGAUUGCAUCUUCGCAUGAAGAAGCAAUUAAAGGAGCAAUCCGCGAGGAGAUGGGCCCGCGGCGCAUUAGCUAGUUGGUGAGGUAACGGCUCAACAAGGCGACGAUGCGUAGCCGACCUGAGAGGGUGAUCGGUCACAUUGGGACUGAGACACGGCCCAGACUCCUACGGGAGGCAGCAGUGGGGAAUAUUGCACAAUGGGGGAAACCCUGAUGCAGCAAUGCCGCGUGAGUGAAGACGGCCUUCGGGUUGUAAAGCUCUGUCUUCGGGGACGAUAAUGACGGUACCCGAGGAGGAAGCCACGGCUAACUACGUGCCAGCCGCCGCCGUAAAAC
rnacentral:rRNA from 1 species